GAAGAGGGGAGGCCUGGCACUAUCACAGUGUCUGAAGAAUCUGUUCGGAGAAUUCAAGUCAAGGUGGAGAUUUGUUGAAUGCCUUGAAUCGGACCCGUUACAACAGAAAGGACGGGGGUCUCGCUGUUACGUGUUAUAAAAAACUGUUGCGUGUUAUAAAAAACUCUGUUACACAGUACCCACCCAUCGACUGUCGGAAGAUAGGCUUCUCUCAUAGUUCUGAGAAGCUGGUGGAUAUUCAGGACUACCUUAGUGGCGUCAACAAUGACAGGAACCUUGUCUUUGUGGUAUGGUCUAGUGUAAUUUUCUAUAGACAAUUACAUAUUAGUGUGAAGUUAUAGUUUACUUGAUAUUUGACAUAUGAAGGUUGGGGCUAUGUGCUCAUGGGAAAAUUGAUAAAGAUUAUUUAUCAAUUUCAGAUUAUCCAUUGAGUUCUGCAUACUGCAUAUCAAUGAUCACGAAUGCCAUGGAGCGCAAAUGGAAGAUUUUGUAGAUUGACCUUACUCCCAAGACAUACUUUCU